rnacentral:lncRNA from 1 species
CGGCAUUUCCCAUACACGAUUUCAUGAAUAAAAUGCUUAUAAACUAUUUUUUUAAUUAGUUUCCAUUAAAAAAUCAUGAUAUUGAUUAUUAAAUAAAUAAUAAUUAUAGAUAAAAAUGGAAUCAUGGGGAAUCAUUUGGAAUAUUCCUAAUAUUAAACGAGGGUUUUCCUAUUUAGUCAAUUACUACCUCACAUGGGUUUCCUCUCACUCUGUUUGUU